rnacentral:rRNA from 1 species
GACGAACGCUGGCGGCGUGCUUAACACAUGCAAGUCGAACGGAAAGGCCCUGCUUUUGUGGGGUGCUCGAGUGGCGAACGGGUGAGUAACACGUGAGUAACCUGCCCUUGACUUUGGGAUAACUUCAGGAAACUGGGGCUAAUACCGGAUAGGAGCUCCUGCUGCAUGGUGGGGGUUGGAAAGUUUCGGCGGUUGGGGAUGGACUCGCGGCUUAUCAGCUUGUUGGUGGGGUAGUGGCUUACCAAGGCUUUGACGGGUAGCCGGCCUGAGAGGGUGACCGGCCACAUUGGGACUGAGAUACGGCCCAGACUCCUACGGGAGGCAGCAGUGGGAUUAUUGCACAAUGGGCGGAAGCCUGAUGCAGCAACGCCGCGUGCGGGAUGACGGCCUUCGGGUUGUAAACCGCUUUCGCCUGUGACGAAGCGUGAGUGACGGUAAUGGGUAAAGAAGCACCGGCUAACUACGUG